rnacentral:tRNA from 1 species
GUCAUUGUAGUUUAACAAAACGUUAGAAUGUGGACCUAAAGACAGAAGCUAAAGCCCUUCUUAAUGACC